UGCGAGUCAUAUGUUCUUCGUGAACAUGGCGUACUGCUCAGUAACACGUGGAUAACCUGCCCUUGGGACCGGGAUAACCCCGGGAAACUGGGGAUAAUACCGGAUAACGCAUAUCUGCUGGAAUGCUUUAUGCGUAAAAUGGAUUUGUCUGCCCAAGGAUGGGUCUGCGGCCUAUCAGGUAGUAGUGGGUGUAAUGUACCUACUAGCCUACGACGGGUACGGGUUGUGAGAGCAAGAGCCCGGAGAUGGAUUCUGAGACAUGAAUCCAGGCCCUACGGGGCGCAGCAGGCGCGAAAACUUUACAAUGCGGGAAACCGUGAUAAGGGGACACCGAGUGCCAGCAUCAUAUGUUGGCUGUCCAGAUGUGUAAAAUACAUCUGUUAGCAAGGGCCGGGCAAGACCGGUGCCAGCCGCCGCGGUAACACCGGCGGCCCGAGUGGUGAUCGUGAUUAUUGGGUCUAAAGGGUCCGUAGCCGGUUUGGUCAGUCCUCCGGGAAAUCUGACGGCUCAACCGUUAGGCUUUCGGUGGAUACUGCCAGACUUGGAACCGGGAGAGGUAAGAGGUACUACAGGGGUAGGGGUGAAAUCUUGUAAUCCCUGUGAGACCACCUGUGGCGAA
rnacentral:rRNA from 1 species